UACGGAGGGUGCGAGCGUUGUCCGGAAUCACUGGGCGUAAAGGGCGCGUAGGUGGCGACUCAAGUCAACGGUGAAAGCUCGACGCUCAACGUCGAGUCGGCCGUCGAAACUGGGACGCUUGAGCACUGUAGAGGCAGAUGGAAUUCCGGGUGUAGCGGUGGAAUGCGUAGAGAUCCGGAAGAACACCGGUGGCGAAGGCGGUCUGCUGGGCAGUUGCUGACACUGAUGCG
rnacentral:rRNA from 1 species